UGGGGUGACUGCGUACCUUUUGUAUAAUGGGUCAGCGACUUAUAUUCUGUAGCAAGGUUAACCGUAUAGGGGAGCCGGAGGGAAACCGAGUCUUAAUUGGGCGUUAAGUUGCAGGGUAUAGACCCGAAACCCGGUGAUCUAGCCAUGGGCAGGUUGAAGGUUGGGUAACACUAACUGGAGGACCGAACCGACUAAUGUUGAAAAAUUAGCGGAUGACCUGUGGCUGGGGGUGAAAGGCCAAUCAAACCGGGAGAUAGCUGGUUCUCCCCGAAAGCUAUUUAGGUAGCGCCUCGUGAAUUCAUCUCCGGGGGUAGAGCACUGUUUCGGCUAGGGGGCCAUCCCGGCUUACCAACCCGAUGCAAACUGCGAAUACCGGAGAAUGUUAUCACGGGAGACACACGGCGGGUGCUAACGUCCGUCGUGAAGAGGGAAACAACCCAGACCGCCAGCUAAGGUCCCAAAGUCAUGGUUAAGUGGGAAACGAUGUGGGAAGGCCCAGACAGCCAGGAUGUUGGCUUAGAAGCAGCCAUCAUUUAAAGAAAGCGUAAUAGCUCACUGGUCGAGUCGGCCUGCGCGGAAGAUGUAACGGGGCUAAACCAUGCACCGAAGCUGCGGCAGCGAACGUAUCACCCAAGACAACUUUACGGAGUUGACGAUUGACGGAGCGA
rnacentral:rRNA from 1 species